CGAAAGCCUGACGGAGCAAGACCGCGUGGGGGAAGAAGGCUCUUGGGUUGUAAACCCCUUUUCUCUGGGAAGAAAGUUGUGAAAGCAACCUGACGGUACCAGAGGAAUCAGCAUCGGCUAACUCCGUGCCAGCAGCCGCGGUAAGACGGAGGAUGCAAGCGUUAUCCGGAAUGAUUGGGCGUAAAGCGUCCGCAGGUGGCAGUUCAAGUCUGCUGUCAAAGACCGGGGCUUAACUUCGGAAAGGCAGUGGAAACUGAACAGCUAGAGUAUGGUAGGGGCAGAGGGAAUUCCUGGUGUAGCGGUGAAAUGCGUAGAGAUCAGGAAGAACAUCGGUGGCGAAGGCGCUCUGCUGGGCCGCAACUGACACUAAUGGACGAAAGCUAGGGGAGCG
rnacentral:rRNA from 1 species